AUUGAACGCUGGCGGCAGGCCUAACACAUGCAAGUCGAGCGAGCGGCGGACGGGUGAGUAAUGUCUGGGAAACUGCCUGAUGGAGGGGGAUAACUACUGGAAACGGUAGCUAAUACCGCAUACCAUCAGAUGUGCCCAGAUGGGAUUAGCUAGUAGGUGGGGUAAUGGCUCACCUAGGCGACGAUCCCUAGCUGGUCUGAGAGGAUGACCAGCAACACUGGAACUGAGACAGUGUCCAGACUCCAACGGGAGGGAGCAGUGUUGAGUGUUGCACUAGGGGCUCAAGCCUGAUACAGACAUGCCGCGUGUGUGAAGAAGGCCUGCGGGUUUUAAAGCACUUUCAGCGGGGAGGCGUUACCCGCAGAAGAAGCACCGGCUAACUCCGUGCCAGCAGCCGCGGUAAUAC
rnacentral:rRNA from 1 species